GAAAUUACUUCAGUACUAAGCCAGGACUUCAGCUAUCUCUUGUAAAAUCCUCCAGGCUAACAGUGUCUGCGAUUCAAAUGGCAAAGCCACUGAGCUAGUCCAGAUCUUUUAGGAGGAACAAAACUCAUAGUGCCUGCAUGUGUUGCAGCAAAGACAACAAGCCCAAACUGGAUUUAGUUGACAGUUUUCCAUGACCCUCCUAGGAGCCGAACCUAUAUCCGUGGGACUGAUGCAUGUUUGAUUUCUUUCCAUUUGCAAGUGAAAGCUGCAGUAGAAAGCCUUUUUGUGUGUUGUAGAGCACAUGUAAAAUAACUUAAAUCUCAUAACUCAGUCUGGAUGCUAAUGUGUCUACAAUUUGUGUAUUAAUAAACAAGCAAAGUCUCCA